rnacentral:rRNA from 1 species
UCGCACCUACCGAUUGAAUGAUUCGGUGAAGCUUUCGGAUUGCGUCACUCGCCUCGGUGGGAGACGUGAGAAGUUAUCUAAACCUCAUCAUUUAGAGGAAGGUG